ensembl:rRNA 5S_rRNA 5S ribosomal RNA
AUCUACAGCCAUGACACCCUGAACGUGCCCUGUCUUGUCUAAUCUCAAAAGCUAAGUAGAGUCGGGCCUGGUUAGUACUUGGAUGGAAGAUCACCAAGGAAGACCAGGUGCUGUAGGCA